GUCACCCUCUACUCCAGGUUUACUCACUCUUUAAUUUAUGGUUACGCACUCUUUACUCCAGGUUUACACACGUUUUACUUUGGGUUUAGUCACACCUUACUCUGGGUAUUACUCACACUUUACUCUAGCUUUACUAACCCUUUACUCCGGGCUUACACACACUUCAAUCCAGGGGUACUCAUAGUUUUCUCUCGGUUUACUCUCACUUUACUCAGAGCUUUACUCAGACUUUACUCCGGGUUUCCUUACAAUGUAUGCCAGGUUUUACUCAUAAGUUUACUUUGGGUUUACUCACAAUUUACACCAGGUUUCCGCGCUGUUUACUCCGGGCUUACACUCUUUACUUUGGGUUUACUCACAGUUUUCUCUAGCUUUACUCACAUUUUACAUCAGGUUUUACACACAUUCUACACAAGGUUUUACACAUAUUUUACUCCAUGUUUCCUCACAGUUUUCUCCAAGCUGGAAGAGUGUGAGUAAAACACAGAGAAAAAACAUGGAGAAAAGUGUGAGUAGAACUUGAGUAAACUGUGUGUAAAACCCAGAGAAAAGUGUGAGUAAAACCAGGAGUAAAAACCUGGAGUAAAUUGAGAGUAUGCAUGAAGUACAGAUGGAGUACACCCUGAGUAAGGUCGUAAUAAACCUGGAGUAGAGAGAGCAAACCCAGAGAAAAAUGUUAGCAAACAUGGAGUAAAGGGUGAGUAAAACCUGUAGUAAAUUCUGAGUACACCCAGAUUAGAGAGUGACUAAACCCAGAGUAAAGUGUGAUUAAAGCUACAGUAAAUAGUAAGCUCUCCUGGAGUAGAGAGUGAGUAAACCCAGAGUGAGGUCUGAAUAAACCUGAAGUAAUGUGUGAGUCAACUUGGAGUCAUGUGUAAGUAAAAGCAGAGUAAAUUGUAAGUGAACCCAGAGUAUAGAGCGAGAAAAUCCUGAAGUAAGGUGUGAGUACACCCGGAGUACAGAGUGUCUGAAACCCAGAGAAAAGUAAGAGUACACCCAUAGUAAAGUCUGUGUAAACCUGAAAUAAAGUGUUAGUAAACCCAGAGUAAAGUGUUAGUAAACAUGGAGAAAAGUGUGAGUUAAAGCCAGAGUAAAUUGUGAGUACACCCGAGGUUAGAGUAAGAGUAAAUCUGGAGCAAAGUGUGUGCAAAUCCAGUGUAAAGUGUUAGAAAAACCAGGAUAAAUGGAAGAAUAAAUCCAAAGUAAUGUGUGAGUAAAACAUGAGUAAAGUGUGAGUAAAACCCAGUGAAAAUUGCAAGUACCAUACUGAGCAAUGUGUGGGCACACAGGGAGUAAAGUGUAUGUAAAAUUGGAGUCGGGUGUGAGUGAACCCAGAGUAAACUGAGUAAACCUGGAGUCAAGAGUGAGAAAAAAACCUGAAUAAGGUGUGGGAACACACAGAGUAAGAAGUUGGUGCACCCAGAGAAAAAUGAGAGUAAACCCAGUGUAAAGUGUGAGGUAACCCAAAAUAAUCUGUGAGUAAAAUCCGAGGGAAAGCUUGGGUAAACCUGUAGUAAAGUGUGAGUAAACUUGAAGUAAAGUGUGAGUAAACCUGGAGGAGAGAGUGAGGAAAAGACUGAGUAAUGGGUGAGUAAACCUCGAGUAAAGUGUGAACAAAUCCUAAAGUAAGGUGUGAAUAAAGUUGGGUUUUUGCAGUGGAAAUUUCCAGUCACAAAGAAAGCUGCUGAACAGAGCAAGGUUGAGACAAUCCGACCUGGGUAGAAUUGGCACAGGCAAUACUAGGUAAGGUAGUUAUACAGGGCAGGGGAGAGUCCAGAAGAGGAGAGAACUAGUGGGCAGACUGUUGAAAAUAUUGUCCUCCUAUUGCCAUAAAAAGUACAGAACACACCUAAAAACAAAGGGUUGGUAACAGACCUUGAAUGGAAAUGUCAGGUAGCAGCAGCGUGAGAAGGUUGUGAGCCUGAGAGGCUCAACAAAUGAGUGCCAGGAGAGGCUUUACCUGUGUCGGACCCAGGGUAUAUAAUGGGAUGGAUUUCACUGACUACUUGUGCAAUUUCUCCCUUGUCAGUAGGGGGGGUGCGCCCAUUAUUGCACUAAUGAAUAAACUGCUCUUCCCAGAGAUCUUGACCUGAUUAGAAACUGUUGACCUUGAGCGUGUUUCUCACAUAGAUGUACAGGUGUGCCAUCCUGGGCUGAGAGUGAGUUGGCCAUAAACAAGACAAGUUUGCAGUCAGAACCUCUUAUAGCACAAUCAGAAUGUUUUGAACAGAGCAAGGCCAUCUCAUUUUUCACAGGAUUCUCCUCCCCCAAGUCUCCAGCCCUCAGUCUGUUGACAUGGCAAUGCUCUUCCAAGCCUUUGAUACAAUUCCAGGCACACCUC
rnacentral:lncRNA from 7 species